rnacentral:tRNA from 1 species
UGGGGUGUAGCCAAGUGGUAAGGCAGCGGUUUUUGGUACCGCCAUUCGGGGGUUCGAUCCCUCCCACCCCAA